rnacentral:rRNA from 1 species
AGAGUUUGAUCCUGGCUCAGGAUGAACGCUAGCGGCAGGCCUAAUACAUGCAAGUCGAGGGGCAGCGCAGUGUAGCAAUACAUGGGCGGCGACCGGCAAACGGGUGCGGAACACGUACACAACCUUCCUUUUAGUGGAGCAUAGCCCAGGGAAACUUGGAUUAAUACUCCGUAACAUAACGAGAUGGCAUCUUCUUGUUAUUAUAGAAGCAAUUCGCUAGAAGACGGGUGUGCGGCUGAUUAGAUAGUUGGCGGGGUAACGGCCCACCAAGUCCACGAUCAGUAACUGGUGUGAGAGCACGACCAGUCACACGGGCACUGAGACACGGGCCCGACUCCUACGGGAGGCAGCAGUAAGGAAUAUUGGUCAAUGGACGCAAGUCUGAACCAGCCAUGCCGCGUGGAGGAUGAAGGCCCUCUGGGUUGUAAACUUCUUUUAUAGGGGACGAAAAAGGGACUUUCUAGUCCAACUGACGGUACCCUAGGAAUAAGCACCGGCUAACUCCGUGCCAGCAGCCGCGGUAAUACGGAGGGUGCAAGCGUUAUCCGGAUUCACUGGGUUUAAAGGGUGCGUAGGUGGAUUAGUAAGUCAGUGGUGAAAUCUUCGAGCUUAACUCGGAAACUGCCAUUGAUACUAUUAGUCUUGAAUAUUGUGGAGGUUAGCGGAAUAUGUCAUGUAGCGGUGAAAUGCUUAGAUAUGACAUAGAACACCAAUUGCGAAGGCAGCUGGCUACACAUAUAUUGACACUGAGGCACGAAAGCGUGGGGAUCAAACAGGAUUAGAUACCCUGGUAGUCCACGCCCUAAACUAUGGAUACUCGACAUACGCGAUACACAGUGUGUG